UAAUGGCAACGACGACAAUGGCAUGUUUAUGGGAAAAUGUUGAAAAUGAGAGUGGUUGAGACAUCCUGCAGUUGGCUUUGUUUCUUUAACAACCAUCUACUACCAGAGUCAGUGGUUCAGCUUCCUACUGCAUUACAGGACGGUUAGCCUUUUCCUUUGUCCGUUUUUUGCGAUGAUAUGAGUUGGCACAAGAAGAAUGCAAUAUCUAAACUCUACAGAUUGGAACAUCAUUUGUUGUGUUGUUUGGACAAUAUAUAGAAGAAAUUAUUUACAGUAGCAGUGAAGUUGACGAAAAGGUAUUUUGAGUACCCACAACCAUCAUUUUGUGGUGAAGAAUGAAUAUCAAAGAAGUUAAUUUUUUUAAAAGCUUAGACUCCAGACUGGGUUUUUAAUACCUUGUUAUCUUGCCACAACUUGCACAUCUCCUUUCUACUCCAUAUUAUUCUCCCCUCCACAGCCAAGAUAUAUUUGGCCCUGUUGCAUCUCUUUUGCGUUUCAGAACAGAUGAGGAGGCGGUUUGCAAUGUGAAUGACACAAGCAUAGGUAAAUAUCCAUUAAUCAUUUCCUUCCUGUUGAUCUACUUGCUGAUAAUGAAAUGUUGAGGGGGAGUUCUCUUUGUAACUUCUCUGCAGUGAUUCC